UGGGGAAUAUUGGACAAUGGGGGCAACCCUGAUCCAGCCAUGCCGCGUGAGUGAUGAAGGCCUUCGGGUUGUAAAGCUCUUUUGGCGGGGACGAUGAUGACGGUACCCGCAGAAUAAGCCCCGGCUAACUUCGUGCCAGCAGCCGCGGUAAGACGAAGGGGGCUAGCGUUGUUCGGAAUUACUGGGCGUAAAGCGAGUGUAGGCGGUUGCCGUAGUCAGGUGUGAAAGCCUUGAGCUCAACUUAAGAAAUGCACUUGAUACUGGGUGACUAGAGGACCGGAGAGGAUAGUGGAAUUCCCCAGUGUAGUGGUGAAAUACGUAGAGAUUGGGAGAACACCAGUGGCGAAGGCGGCUAUCUGGANGUUACUGACGCUAGACUCGAAGCGUGGGAGCGAACAGGAUUAGAUACCCUGGUAGUCCACGCCGUAAACGAUGGGUGCUAGACGUUGGCGAGCUUGCUCGUCAGUGUCGCAGCUAACGCGUUAAGCACCCCGCCUGGGAGUACGGCCGCAAGGUUGAAA
rnacentral:rRNA from 1 species